rnacentral:rRNA from 1 species
CCCUUAGAUGUUCUGGGCCGCACGCGUGCUACACUGAGUAAUUCAAUGGGUAAGGGAACGCCAGAGCAUUACCUAAUCUUGAAAUUUGCUCGUGAUGGGGAUCGACGGUUGCAAUUUUCCGUCGUGAACGAGGAAUACCUUGUAGGCGCAUGUCAUCAUCAUGCGCCGAAUACGUCCCUGCCCUUUGUACACACCGCCCGUCGCUCCUACCGAUUGAGUGAUCCGGUGAGGCUCUGGGACCUGGACGGAAAGAGCGUUUCGCUUGUUCUGUUUGGGAAACUUGGUCGAACCUUAUCAUUUAGAGGAAGGAGAAGUCGUAACA